GCACUCCUGCGGUGUUCGCUAUGCUGAAAUUUUCUGAGCCUUAUUUUUUUCCCGGGAUUUAGUCACUGUUGGUGUUGUGCAUCCCCCGCGAAAGCGUUGGGAAGCCUGAUCCUUCAAACCGGGUCCCACCUGCGUCAGCAGGUUCAGAAAGAACAGCAACCCGGCACAGGCGGGAGUGUU
rnacentral:other from 1 species